rnacentral:rRNA from 1 species
UGAGGAAUAUUGCACAAUGGGCGCAAGCCUGAUGCAGCAACGCCGCGUGCGGGACGAAGGCCUUCGGGUCGUAAACCGCUUUUCUGGGGAAAGAGCAAGGACGGUACCUCAGGAAUAAGUCUCGGCUAACUACGUGCCAGCAGCCGCGGUACAACGUAGGAGGCGAGCGUUAUCCGGAUUUACUGGGCGUAAAGCGCACGCAGGCGGCGCUGUGAGUCGGACGUGAAAGCGCCCGGCUUAACCGGGAGAGGCCGUUCGAUACUGCGGGGCUUGAGGUAGGGAGAGGGAUGCGGAAUUCCCGGUGUAGUGGUGGAAUGCGUAGAUAUCGGGGGGAACACCUGUGGCGAAAGCGGCAUUCUGGCCCUCACCUGACGCUGAGGGGCGAAAGCGUGGG